rnacentral:rRNA from 1 species
UACGUAUGGUGCAAGCGUUAUCCGGAUUUACUGGGCGUAAAGGGAGCGCAGGCGGCGCGCCAAGUCUGAUGUGAAACCCCGGGGCUCAACCCCGGGCAUGCAUUGGAAACUGGCGGGCUGGAGUGCCGGAGAGGUAAGCGGAAUUCCUAGUGUAGCGGUGAAAUGCGUAGAUAUUAGGAGGAACACCAGUGGCGAAGGCGGCUUACUGGACGGCAACUGACGCUGAGGUUCGAAAGCGUGGGGAGCAAACAGG